GUGUGCAUCACCAACGCGUCCCUCCCGAAGCUGCGCGCUCUGUCGAAGAGGACGACCUUCCCCGAAUAGAGGAGGACCGGUCUUCGGUCAAGGGUAUACGAGUAGCUGCGCUCCCCUGCUAGAACCUCCAAACAAGCUCUCAAGCUCCACACUUCUUCAAACCACUGAAACUCACUUCUCUCUGGUUUCUCUUUGGG
rnacentral:snRNA from 1 species